rfam:Felis catus breed Abyssinian Contig159789.1, whole genome shotgun sequence. [26-MAY-2016]
GCCUGGAUGGCUCAGUCGGUUAAGCAUCUGACUUCAACUCGGGUCAUGAUCUCAUGGUUCGUGAGUUCAAGCCCCGCUUCGGCCU